GUGCUUUCUUCAGCAAUACAUAUGCAGAAAUUGGAACAAUACAGAGAAAACUAGCACAGCCUCUGCACAAGGAUGACAUGCAAAUAAAGAUUAUGAAUUUUG
rnacentral:snRNA from 1 species